ensembl:lncRNA
UUCCAGAGUUUUUUUGGGUCGUUUUCCCUUUAAUAGUGGUAAAUGUCUGUCCUUAAGUAAUUGUAAUAACAGUGAUGUAAGGUUACAAUUCCACUAUAAUGUAUGUUGUGAAGGAUUAUCACCAUGCUAAGGAAAACAUAGUUCCCUCCAUUUUGUUAACAGUUUACCUGCAGCUGCUGAAUACACUGCCAACUUUCAAACCUAAGGUACCAUCUCAGCAUUGAAAGAAAUGUAAUUGUAAUUGACCUUACCUCAAUUGAAAGACAUGCCAUUUCAUGAACCAUGCCAAAAAACCUAUUUAGAGUUAGUUAUCCAUUUAUUGAUCGCUCUCUGGUAAAUGAUUCAUACUUAUGAAUACAUUUUAAACAUUUUGUAAAUAUCAUAGCCUCAAAGUAAAUCUCAGUUACGGUUAUGUAUAACAUUUAUCAGUAUUAUAAAUUGUUUGCGCCCUAUCAGUUGUAGAGAAUGAAUACUGGUAACUGAAAUCCUGGCGUCAUAAGCAGGGUGUAGUACUUAGAGGAGGGGCCGCAUCCAUUUUCUGUUUCACUGUUGUGUGUUUGCCUGUGUGAGCAUAUCAGACCAUGCAAAGAGUCCUUUUCUGUUACAGGCUUGCAUUAUGCACCAUCCCCAACGGUGGCAAAGUAUCAGAGGAUUCAGCAGCUAAAACGUAGACAAUGCAACAGAAUAAACUUGAUCCCACACUGCUGGAUUGCACACAUUUGUAUGGUUUGCUCUACAAAAGGAGUAUCUCUUUACAUUUGCUAUAUUUCCCCUUGUGUGUUUCUCCUCCACACCUACCUCCAACCCUUCAUUUGAUCCAUGGCAGUUGGCAGUAGGCCAAUUGUGAUCUAUGCAGUUCACAACUCAUACUCUGCCCAGGCGCAGCCUUUAAAAAAAAAAAAAAAACAUCACUUAAAAUGUCCAUUCUAUUAUUAGGUGUUAUUGCAUGUCCCAUAUACUACAACCCACAGUACUAAAAUGAAGAUUUGAGAAGGUGAUGAUGUAGAGACUACGUGCUUUGUGGCCUGCAGGCCUUUUAUAUGACUGUUAACCUCUAGUCCUUAAGUGCCACUGCAGAGCUGGACAGUCAGAAUAUAGCACAAACUGAAUUCAUAUAUACCUUAUUGAACAGACAUGAUUUUCCACUUGACAAUUCAGAUUUAUUUUAGACAUGCAUAAGAAACAGAUUUCAGGUUACAGAACAGCAAUAAAACCAUUGCACUAUUCGAACAAGCCAGUAGCAGUCUUUUUUUCAUAGCAUCAUCACACAAUUACAUGCACAAUUUAGCACUUGAUAGGGUAUCAGGGAUUUUUUGUAGAUUCAUUGUUUAUAUGCAUGGUUAUAAAAUAACCUUAUCCCAAAGAAUUACUCUGUUAUAAAUCAAGAAAAGCCUCACAUUGCUCUAAACUGAUGCCCCAUAGGUAAACAAGUUUACAGGAAGCUGACAAAUAGUACAUUACAGUACAGAGACUGGCUACUCUUGAAAUCAGAUUCACACAAGGAAUGUAUAGAGAAUUUAAAGGGAUACACUUGCUCUUUUGGUGAAAACAUGCACAAUUGUUGAAUGUUAAAGAACAG